CGGCUCCACACUGCUCCUGGCUCCGCCACCUGCCUUCCUGCCGCCUCCUCUGCUCCCCGGGGACCGAGGGCGAUGGACGCCGGCUGCCUGCGGGCCCGCAGCCUGCUGCUCUUCCUCGGGCAGGAGUGUAAGCAGAACACGGCGCUCCUGGGAAGGCUGUCUGUUGCUGGUGUUAUGCCAGGCUGGAAGAGGUUCCCUGCUGAGUGGCUGGAGCCUGUAACUGAAGUGACAGCCACGUCAGGUUACCUAUUGCAGGCAGCCCUGGGGACAACAGUGAUCCCGUUAUGUGGGCCUGGUGAAAUGGAGAACUGCACCACAGCGCUCAUCCAGACAGAGAACAGCCCACGUGUGGCCCAAGUGGGGAUAACGAGAUGCAAGCCUGAAAUGAAGGACUACUGCUUCCAUGGGCAGUGCGUGUACAUCGUGGACUUGGAUGAGCACUACUGCAGGUGUGACGUGGGGUUCUCUGGAGUGCGGUGUGUGCACUCGGAGCUGGUCCGGCAGCCCCUCAGCAAGGAGUACGUGGCACUGACGGUUAUCGUGGUUCUGCUCUUCGUCGCCGCCAUCUCCCUUGCAAGCUACUACAUCUACAGGAGACAGACCUACUAACCCACAGGAAGACUUUAAGGCAGAUGUGGAAUUUUCAGUGAAGAGCUGAGAAAGGAGACUGCACAUGAGUGAUCUCAGACCUGGAAAUGAGCGCAGACAGAGCCCAGGAGCUAGAGAUUUAAAGGAGGAGAGAUUUAAAACAAACUUUAGAAGGUACCGAAACAAGAGGAGACAAACAAACGCCAGUGAAUACAAGGAAGUCGGUGCCCUAUAGGAGAAACGGUGAUUUCCUGCAGUGUUCCGUUCAUCUGGAUGGACUCAGUGGCUUCCCAUCUAUUUAAAUAUUAUUUUUAUUAAUAAUAUUUACUAUAUUUAUAACCUUUCAACUGUUCGGUGAUUCAAUCUGUAUAGGUCAAGCAUUUUAUUUGCAGUGUUUUAUUUUUUUAUUAAAUAAUAUUUCCUAAAGGGAACCCCACCUAAGUGGUUCUGUGGGAUAGAGAUAUAUUUUUAUAAAAACUCAUCUUCUUGCUCUGGAGAGAAGAAUUUUAUAUUUAUUCUUGUGAAUAUACUCAAAGCAAUUGUAUUCCUUGAAAUAAAAGUUUAGACAAAGUCAAAA